rnacentral:rRNA from 1 species
UAAUACAUGCAAGUAGAACGCUGAAGGAGGAGCUUGCUUCUCUGGAUGAGUUGCGAACGGGUGAGUAACGCGUAGGUAACCUCCCGGUAGCGGGGGAUAACUAUUGGAAACGAUAGCUAAUACCGCAUAAGAGUAGAUGUUGCAUGACAUUUGCUUAAAAGGUACAAUCGCAUCACUACCAGAUGGACCUGCGUUGUAUUAGCUAGUUGGUGAGGUAACGGCUCACCAAGGCAACGAUACAUAGCCGACCUGAGAGGGUGAUCGGCCACACUGGGACUGAGACACGGCCCAGACUCCUACGGGAGGCAGCAGUAGGGAAUCUUCGGCAAUGGACGGAAGUCUGACCGAGCAACGCCGCGUGAGUGAAGAAGGUCUUCGGAUCGUAAAGCUCUGUUGUAAGAGAAGAACGAGUGUGAGAGUGGAAAGUUCACACUGUGACGGUAUCUUACCAGAAA